AGCAGCCGCGGUAAUUCCAGCUCCAAUAGCGUAUAUUAAAGUUGUUGCAGUUAAAAAGCUCGUAGUUGAAUUUCGGGGUUAGUAGGUUGGUCAUGCCUCUGGUAUGUACUGGUCUCACUGAUUCCUCCUUCCUGAUGAACCUUAAUGCCAUUAAUUUGGUGUUUUGGGGAAUUUGGACUGUUACUUUGAAAAAAUUAGAGUAGUUUAAAGCAAGCUAACGCUUGAAUACAUUAGCAUGGAAUAAUGAAAUAGGACGUUCGAUCCUAUUUGUUGGUUUCUAGGAUUGACGUAAUGAUUAAUAGGGAUAGUUGGGGGCAUUAGUAUUCAAUUGUCAGAGGUGAAAUUCUUGGAUUUAUUGAAGACUAACUACUGCGAAAGCAUUUGCCAAGGAUGUUUUCAUUAAUCAAGAACGAAAGUUAGGGGAUCGAAGACGAUCAGAUACCGUCGUAGUCUUAACCAUAAACUAUGCCGACUAGGGAUCGGAUGAUGUUAAUUUUUAAUGUAACUCAUUCGGCGCCUU
rnacentral:rRNA from 1 species